AUAAUGCAGUGUGUGUGUAUAUAAUGCAGUGUGUUUGUGUAGUGUGUUUAUAUAAUGCACACUACACAAACACACUGCAUUAUAUACACACACUCUGCAUUA